rnacentral:rRNA from 1 species
GCUCGGUGUAAGCACUUCAGUCGUGAGAAGUAGGUAGUAUAGCUGCAUAUGACGUAGCGACGAGAGCACGGCUAACUCGUGCAGCAGCGCGUAUACGAGGUGCGAGCGUAAUCGAAUACUGGCGUAAGGCCAUGCAGGUGUUUGUUAGUCGAUGUGAAAGCCGGGGCUCACCUGGAAUUGCAUUGAACUGCAGCUGAGUACGAGAGGGGGGUGAAUUUCAGGUGGAGCGGUGAAUGCGUAGAGAUUGAAGGAAAUCCGGUGGCGAAGGCGGCCCCCUGGACAGAUACUGACACUCAGAUGCGAAAGCGUGGGGAGCAAACAGGAUUAGAUUCCCUGGUAGUCCACGCCGUAAACGAUGUCUACUUGGAAGUUGUGGCCUUGAACCGUGGCUUUUGGAACUAACGCGUUAAGUAGACCGCCUGGGGAGUACGGUUGCAAGAUUAAAACUCAAAUGAAUUGACGGGGGCCCGCACCAGCGGUGGAGCAUGUGGUUUAAUUUGAUGCAACGCGAAGAACCUUACCUACUUUUGACAUCCAGAGAACUUUCCAGAGAUGGAUUGGUGCCUUUGGGAACUUUGAGACCGGUGGUGCAUGGCUGUUGUCAGCUUGUGUUGUGAAAUGUUGGGUUAAGUCCCGCAACGAGCGCCACCCUUAUCCUUGUUUGCCAGCGAGUAAUGUCGGGAACUCCAGGGAGACUGCCGGUGAUAAACCGGAGGAAGGUGGGGACGACGUCAAGUCAUCAUGGCCCUUACGAGUAGGGCUACACACGUGCUACAAUGGCGCAUACAGAGGGCGGCCAACUUGCGAGAGUGAGCGAAUCCCAAAAAGUGCGUCGUAGUCCGGAUCGGAGUCUGCAACUCGACUCCGUGAAGUCGGAAUCGCUAGUAAUCGUGGAUCAGAAUGCCACGGUGAAUACGUUCCCGGGCCUUGUACACACCGCCCGUCACACCAUGGGAGUGGGCUGCAAAAGAAGUAGGUAGUUUAACCUUCGGGAGGACGCUUACCACUUGGUAA